GCAGCUGCCUCUCAGAAGUCCUUCAGUGCCUCUAGGGUUUACUAAUUGGCCUCUAAUUCAGAGCAAAUUGGGGAGUGAUAACAAAGAGGAUGAAGAGAUUGGAAAUGGAGAGAAAGGAAGCUGGCCUUCUGUCAUGGUUUCUGUUGGGUAUUUUAUAAGUCGUAACUUUGGUAUGGUCGGUGGUUAAAUUUAACUGAACAUCGCUGAAUAUGACAAUAUAAUAGAAAUGGAUCCUUGGGGCAGAGACUACCUUUGGGUUCAACCUGGUUAUAAUGAAAUGGCGUUCACAGUGUGCAAAACCAAACACAAGGGCUGGGAUAAUACCUUAAUGUUUAAUGCAAUAUACAACAUGUUUGAGGACAAAUGCCAGCCAGUGAUAUCAAAACAAUAUAUUUAUCUUAAUUGAUCUUAGUCAAACUAUCCAUAAUUAUUUGUUAAAAACAUCACAUAACUGCCAAAUUUGGUGUCAUUUAAAUAAUAGCCUGUGAGGUAAUAAUUACGUAAGGUAGUAGAGUAUUAUUAUUAUAAGCAUAUCAACUGGUAAAAUCUGUUAUGUGAUCUAUGUUUUAAGUUGCUUUUUGCUUAAUUUUUGCCCAUCCUGACAUUCACUCAUACUGAACUAUAAUUUUCAAUGUUGAUAUACUAAUAUAAAAAUAUGGUUCUGCAGGGUGGUUGAAAUUGGUCAAUUAUAAGUUCAUAAUUUCCAUAAACUACAGGAUACCCUCCACAAAGCUCAUAGAUCCAAAGAAGAUAAACAAGAAAAAAGGCUCAAGUGCAGACACUUGACUCUCAUUUAGAAUGGGGAAUAAAAUAGUCUUGGAGGGAGAUUGAGGGAAGGAACUGGAUAGGAGAUGGAAGGGAGAAGAGAAUGGAUUACGUGUGGGAAGGGACAGGAUAUAUGGCCAGAUAGUCAUGAGAAGGAAAGGAAAUCUUGAACUUAUAGAGAUGAGGAUGUAGGGGAAAUCUCCAGGAUGAGAAAGAGUCCUGGGAUAAUGGAGGUAACCACGAAUUAAUGGAGGUUUCCUAAGCGGUGACUUACAUUGGUGAUAUGGAACAUG